rnacentral:rRNA from 1 species
AUCGGAGCUACCUGCAGCCGAGCGGUAUUUCUUCUUCGGGAGAGAGAGAGCGGCGUACGGGUGCGGACACCAUUUGUGCAACCUGCCUUUAUCUAGAGGAUAGCCUUUCGAAAGCGUUAUUAAUACUCUAUAAUAUAUUAAUUGGCAUCAAUUGAUAUUGAAAACUCCGGUGGAUAGAGAUGGGCACGCGCAAGAUUAGCUAGUUGGUGAGGUAACGGCUCACCAAGGCAAUGAUCUUUAGGGGGCCUGAGAGGGUGAUCCCCCACACUGGUACUGAGACACGGACCAGACUCCUACGGGAGGCAGCAGUGAGGAAUAUUGGUCAAUGGGUGCAAGCCUGAACCAGCCAUCCCGCGUGAAGGAUUAAGGUCCUAUGGAUUGUAAACUUCUUUUGUAUAGGGAUAAACCUACCCUCGUGAGGGUAGCUGAAGGUACUAUACGAAUAAGCACCGGCUAACUCCGUGCCAGCAGCCGCGGUAAUACGGAGGGUGCAAGCGUUAUCCGGAUUUAUUGGGUUUAAAGGGUCCGUAGGCGGACUUAUAAGUCAGUGGUGAAAGCCUGUCGCUCAUAACGAUAGAACUGCCAUUGAUACUGUAAGUCUUGAGUAUAUUUGAGGUAGCUGGAAUAAGUAGUGUAGCGGUGAAAUGCAUAGAUAUUACUUAGAACACCAAUUGCGAAGGCAGGUUACCAAGAUAUAACUGACGCUGAGGGACGAAAGCGUGGGUAGCGAACAGGAUUAGAUACCCUGGUAGUCCCCGCUGUAAACGAUGCUAACUCGUUUUUUGGUACUUCGGUAUCAGAGACCAAACGAAAGUGAUAAAGUAGC